AGAUGAGAAAGGUGGCUAUCAAAGUCAGUUGAAAGACAAUGGACCAACUUUAGAAGAGGUUUGUUUGUAGAAUGAGGAAGUGCAAAGAGUAAUCAAGACAAAGUGUUAUAAGAGGCUGUCUAAAUGCAAGAAUGAAGAUGUUUGUGAGUUAUGAAAAUCUUGGUACACUUGGGGGAGAGAAAGAUAUCUAAAAACCGACAUGGAUGAGCGAAAUGAAAUGAUGAGACUCAAAUCAAUUUAGGUGUAUAGAGAUGAUGCUGACAAGGUUUCAAUAAAGGAAGAGGAUAUAAAGGGUGAUGGAGAAGUUACCUGAUUGACUUUAAUGGCAGUGAUUGGGAAAACCUUAGAGGUAACAUACAUGUUGAAAUGAUUAUUGCUUGCAGCAGAUUAGAAUAUCAAAAGUUAAGGAAACAUUGAAGAAGAUGAAGAUGGGUAAAGCUUGUGGCUAAAUGGAAUUCCUAUAGAAGUUUGGAAGUGUCUUGGAAAAGUUGGAGUGGAGUUGUUGACGAGAUUGUUUUGUAAGAUUUUGAUAUCAAAGAAAAUGUGCGAGGAGUGUACGAGCACCUUUUUUGAUAUAUUUAAUAAUAAGAGAGAUAUCAAAAGUUGUUAAAACUUAAGAGUUAUAAAACUCAUAAGUCAUAUAAUGAAGCUUUGGAAGAGUAUUGGAAUGCUAAUUAAGAAGUGACAAAACUAUCUUCGAAGAAAAAAUUUUUGGUUUGUGCCAAGAAGGUCAAUUAUGUAGAUAAUUUUUCUAAUAAGAGAAUUUAUGUGGAAGUUCUAAGAGAAAAUAGGAGAGUUCCAUAUUGUAUUUGUCAAUUUAAAGAAGGGCGUUUCUCAAGUUUUUG
rnacentral:misc_RNA from 1 species